UAGGGAAUCUUCGUCAAUGGGGGCAACCCUGACCGAGCAACGCCGCGUGAGUGAAGAAGGUUUUCGGAUCGUAAAGCUCUGUUGUAAGAGAAGAACGUGUGUGAGAGUGGAAAGUUCACACAGUGACGGUAACUUACCAGAAAGGGACGGCUAACUACGUGCCAGCAGCCGCGGUAAUACGUAGGUCCCGAGCGUUGUCCGGAUUUAUUGGGCGUAAAGCGAGCGCAGGCGGUUUAAUAAGUCUGAAGUUAAAGGCAGUGGCUUAACAAUUGUUCGCUUUGGAAACUGUUAAACUUGAGUGCAGAAGGGGAGAGUGGAAUUCCAUGUGUAGCGGUGAAAUGCGUAGAUAUAUGGAGGAACACCGGUGGCGAAAGCGGCUCUCUGGUCUGUAACUGACGCUGAGGCUCGAAAGCGUGGGGAGCAAACAGG
rnacentral:rRNA from 1 species